ACUGACUGAUUGGCUGUCGUUACAUCCAGUUUUAUUGUCUUUUUUUACCCUUUCAGUAUUAUUCUUACAAGUUAAAAGAGUCUCUGAGUCUGAGGGAUUAGGGACCUAAACCAAAGAGGAAUCUUAUGAUCUGUGAGCAGAAUGAGAUGUGGUCUUUCCUGGAUGAAGACAUCUGAAGAGAGCAUAUGUGAACCUCAAGAGCAAGACUGAUGAUCCCAACAGACAAAUUGCCACAGUAUGCAGCAUUCACUAGAAUGAAAGGUUUAUAGAUGAAAAGGGACCUUGAGCUGGCUUAAAGGACCUUGAGCCAGGUUUUCUACCACAUGAAAAUUUGACACACAGAAAAGGGAGAUCUUUACGUCCUGUUAUACAGCAAGAAAAGUCUAAGAGCUGAGAUACAUAAACCAUGGAGGAAAGUCAGCAGUAAGUUCCUUAUCAGAGAGGAGAGCAAGGUGAAAAUCAUGUGAGCUUCAUGUGAAAACUAAGGAAGCAAGACUGGGAAAAAGAAAUAACCAGAAGAACUAAAGGCUAGGAAGAAGCAAAGAAAUGAGAACUGCCACAAACUGAGAAGUGAGAAUACCAGCCAGUUGUCUGAAUCAACAGCCAGCUUGUUUCAAACACUGUUCUCCCAGUGAGAGCUCAUGUGCCUGGAGCUGUGUGAAAUCAGAGGCACAUUGCCAGGAUGGCAAGGAACUGCCUUCAUGCAGCCUCCUACCUCAGUUAAAUGUUCCCUCCUCCUGUUGUCUUACAAGGGAAUAGGUAGCUAUAACACUGGAUUACUGCCAAAGUCAAGGUGUAUGCAUCACCCUGGCAAACUGUGAUUCAUUAUAGCCAGGAGCAGGAUGCACAGUAGAUGAGCAGCAUUAUUUCUAGCCAGAGCUACUCACUGGCUGAUAAUGAGAACAGUGCCUUAGGGGAACUCAGCUGAUUUUCUUUUUCCAGUUUCUGCACCAGCCUGAUUCCUUCCUACGCUGCCAACUAUGGGCAAAGAAGAGAUGAUUCUUGCUCCCAUGACUUCAUGCUUGAUUUAACCCACAAACCAAAGUGCCCCAAGGCUCUCCAAGUUUGGCUUACUAACUGUUCUUGCAAUUACGUGUAAUGUGUUCCAAUGGUUCAGUUUUCUCAAAGCCAGGAAAAGGAAACCUCCACAGAGCCCAUCCACUCAAGCAAGCCUAUCGCACAGAUAAACAUGAUCUCACUGAAAAAAGCAAAGAAGGCAUCUGGCCCUACACACACAAAUCUAAGAAUGUAAACAGAUUCUUGCCUGCCAAUCUCUCCUUACAGGAAAUUGUCUCCAGCAUAGACCCUUGCCAACAAAUAGAAAAAUGGAGAUGUUUUAGAACAGGCAAUCAAAGCCU